CUUAUUUAUAUUAAAAUAAUGAAUUGGUUACUCUUGCAACUGAAGUGGUUGGGAAUAAUAUUUCGGUUAAGAUCAAGGAGUUGUAUGAUUUAGGAGCAAGGAAAUUUGUAUUUCAGACUCUGCCCUUGGCCUCCUUCCAUAUGUUAAGCAAACGCGCAAUGAUUCCAUUAUUUCUGAAAAACUGAAUUUUGUAGCACUUUUGGAAACUGAAGAACUAGCUCUGGCGCUCAAGGAGAUUCAACAACAAAAUCCAGCAUUCAAUUUUACAAUCUUUCGGGACUUCUUUCCCAUUCUCGGGAGAGUAUUAUUACCUCCACUUUUUGGAUUCAACGAAAGUCGCGUCGCAUGCUGUGGCAAUGGCACAGUUCGUGGCCAAGGUUGUGGAGUUUUAGGUUAUGAAUACUGCGUAUGUGGUAAUAAGAGAGAAUACUUGUUUUUUGAUGGGACUCAUUAUAGUGAGGCUACUAAUAAACAACUAGUUGAAAUGAUGUGGGACAAGAAAUCAGGUUUCAUAUUCCCUUAUGGUGUUAAGGAUUUCUUUGAAAUAUCUAACUCCACAUCUCUCAAGUCUGCAACUUAAUUAUUAAGUUGUUGCUGUAUUUCUGAGGCAUCAGCAUUCCCUCAUAGUCACACUAGUAUGGCU